rnacentral:rRNA from 1 species
CCUACGGGUGGCAGCAGUGAGGAAUAUUGGUCAAUGGGCGCGCGCCUGAACCAGCCAAGUCGCGUGAGGGAAGACGGCCCUACGGGUUGUAAACCUCUUUUGCCGGGGAGCAACGGGCGCCACGUGUGGCGCCACUGAGAGUACCCGGAGAAAAAGCAUCGGCUAACUCCGUGCCAGCAGCCGCGGUAAUACGGAGGAUGCGAGCGUUAUCCGGAUUUAUUGGGUUUAAAGGGUGCGUAGGCGGAGUGCCAAGUCAGUGGUAAAAUCGAGGGGCUCAACCCCUCCCCGCCAUUGAAACUGGCGCUCUUGAGUGGAAGAGAAGUAUGCGGAAUGCGUGGUGUAGCGGUGAAAUGCAUAGAUAUCACGCAGAACCCCGAUUGCGAAGGCAGCAUGCCGGCUUCCUACUGACGCUGAAGCACGAAAGCGUGGGGAUCGAACAGGAUUAGAUACCCGGGUAGUC